rnacentral:snRNA from 1 species
CAUGCCACAUGUCAAUAAAUGAG